UCCUCUCUCUUAACUUUCAGUGUAGGUUUUCACUGGUGUGUGACAUCGCCAUCUACACAAAGAGUGCAGAAGUCAAGAAUGUGCAUUGGAUGACUUUUCACAGAGUAAACCCAGACGUGAAAGAAAGCACACAAACCAGAGACAGAAUAUCAACGGCAGCAACCUUGGCCACCUUCUGAUCCCAAAGGCCACCAAAGGAAAUUGAUAACUUGACUACAAACACCGUAGAUCCGACUUUGACAUUGAUCUUGAAGCUGGCCUUCCAACCCCAUGGAACCCCACGCCUUCCCACGUCAGCGGAGUAGUCAGAAGGUGAACUCCAUGAGGACAGGAAAACAGUCUCUCCUCUGCCCUUAGUACGGAGGACAGCGCCUGCACAAGGCUCACAAGGGAAGCAGGUGACCUGGAAUUUGCAGGGAACCAGAGUGAGUAAGCACAGUGGAGAAGAGGCCCAGAAUAUUCUAUCACAGAUAUCGUCUAUCUGCCAGAAGGUAAGUGAUAGCCUCUCAAUUCCAGGUCCAACUUCCA
rnacentral:lncRNA from 1 species